CCCGCGCUCGCCGUUUCAGCGACAGGAUUAGGGAGUUAAGGAAGCAGUUGGGGGUCUUGGUGUGGGGAGUCCAGGCGCAGCCAAACGGAGCUACAUCGGGCAGCCAGGUAAUAAUUUCAAGAUGCCAGGGCGUUCCACUUCAAGUUCAGGUUCAACUGGUUUUAUAUCCUUCAGUGGUGUAGAAUCUGCACUCUCCUCCUUGAAAAACUUCCAGUCCUGCAUCAGCUCUGGAAUGGACACAGCUUCUACUGUUGCUUUGAAUCUUGUGGAAACUCAGACUGAAGUGAGUAGUGAAUACAGUAUGGAUAAGGCAAUGGUUGAAUUUGCAAUGAUGGAUCGGGAACUAAACCAUUAUUUAAAGGCUGUUCAAUCUACAAUAAAACAUGUAAGAGAAGAACGUCCAGAAAAAAUACCCGAUCUAAAAUUAUUAGUGGAGAAGAAGUUUUUGGCUUUACAGAAUAAGAAUUCUGAUGCAGACUUUCAAAAUAAUGAGAAAUUUGCACAAUUUAAACAACAGCUGAAAGAACUAAAGAAGCAAUAUGGUCUUCAAGCAGACAGAGAGGCUGACGGCACGGAAGGAGUUGAUGAAGAUAUGAUUGUGACCCAAAGUCAGACCAACUUCAUCUGCCCCAUUACACAGUUGGAAAUGAAGAAGCCAGUGAAAAAUAAAGUGUGUGGCCACACCUAUGAAGAAGAAGCCAUUGUUCGCAUGAUUGAGUCCAAGCACAAGCGGAAGAAAAAGGCCUGUUGCCCGAAAAUUGGCUGUAGCCACACAGACGUGAGAAUGUCUGAUCUCAUCCAGGAUGAGGUGCUGAGAAGGGCGAUUGAGAGUCACAACAAGAAAAAACAUCGUCAGUCCAACUAGGAAGAGCCCCCUGCCUGCAGGGAGCUCCACAGCCUACCUCCUACCCCAGCCAUCUGUAGAGAGCGAUGCUUGUCAGAGCAUUUCGACUGGCUGCAUAGCAUACUUUGGGAAUGCUCCAGUAGCUGGCUUAUCAGUGCGAUGAUAAUUGAUGCCAUAAUGGAAACUCUGCUGCAGCCUUCUGAGAUCCUGAAGCGUCAUCGGAAGCAACCACGUCCUGGCUGUUCUCUGCCUUGCUCCGUGGC